rnacentral:rRNA from 1 species
AGCAGCCGCGGUAAUUCCAGCUCCAAUAGCGUAUAUUAAAGUUGUUGCAGUUAAAAAGCUCGUAGUUGAAUUUCGGGAUCAAGGAAUCGGUCAUGCCUUGGUAUGUACUGGUUUUAUUGGUUCUCACCUUCUAAAGAACCAUAAUGUCAUUCAUUUGAUGUUAUGGGGAAUUAGGACUGUUACCUUGAAAAAAUUAGAGUGUUUAAAGCAGGCUUACGCUUGAAUACAUUAGCAUGGAAUAAUGAAAUAGGACAUCCGAUUCUAUUUUGUUGGUUUCUAGGAUCGAUGUAAUGAUUAAUAGGGAUAGUUGGGGGCAUUAGCAUUCAAUUGUCAGAGGUGAAAUUCUUGGAUUUAUUGAAGACUAACUACUGCGAAAGCAUUUGCCAAGGAUGUUUUCAUUAAUCAAGAACGAAAGUUAGGGGAUCGAAGACGAUCAGAUACCGUCGUAGUCUUAACCAUAAACUAUGCCGACUAGGGAUCGGAUGAUGU